ACCAACACAAGAGCAACUCACAGGUGCAAAACAACAGUAAAAAACAGAGUAAAAGUUGAACAUCAGAGAACAUGAAGCUGAUCUGAGCCGAACUGGGCAGGAUGGGUCCAGACCAGCCUGCAGCAGUGAGGCAGAGCAGGGAUGCGUUGAGGUCAACCUGCCAGUAGGGGGAGCAGCACAGGGCUCCUGUCAGCACAUGAAGACCGAGCACAGAGCUGCCAGAUCUGUUUCUGCUCGCUGCUCAGACAUGGCUCCUCUGUUGCUCUCAGUGCUGCUGGCUGCGUUCAGCCUCGAAUGCAGAGCGCAGACCGACGGCGUGCAGCAACCAGAGAGAGACGUGAUUGCUGCUGAAGGAGGCAAUGCAACUCUGAACUGUCUCUAUAACACCAGUGCAUCCAACCACUAUCUCUACUGGUACAGACUGGAGGGAGGCAGCAGCCCCACGUUCAUCCUGAGCCGCUUUAAGGUUGGAGAGGGGAAAACGGCAGAGAAGAGAUUUUCCUCCAGCCUGGAUGCCACUGCUAGAUCGGUUCCUCUGACGAUCCAGGAUCUCCGUCCGUCAGACUCUGCUGUGUACUACUGCGCUCUGCAGCCCACAGUGACAGGAAACACCAGAACCCUGUACAAAAANACAGUGACAGGAAACACCAGAACCCUGUACAAAAACCUGAACACAGAUAUCUGA